AUACUUACCUGGCAGGGGCGAUACAAUGAUCAAGAAGGUUGUUUGUCCAGGGCGAAUUCCUCAAAUGUAGGAAUCUCGACUGCACAAUUUCUGGUAGUGGGGAACUGCUUUCGAGCUCUCCCCCU
ensembl:snRNA U1 U1 spliceosomal RNA